rnacentral:rRNA from 1 species
CCUACGGGAGGCUGCAGUGGGGAAUCUUCCACAAUGGACGAAAGUCUGAUGGAGCAACGCCGCGUGAGUGAAGAAGGGUUUCGGCUCGUAAAGCUCUGUUGGUAGUGAAGAAAGAUAGAGGUAGUAACUGGACUUUAUUUCACGGUACUUACUUAGAAAGUCACGGCUAACUACGUGCCAGCAGCCGCGGUACUACGUAGGUGGCAAGCGUUGUCCGGAUUUAUUGGGGGUAAAGCGAGUGCAGGCGGGUUAAUAAGUCUGAUGUGAAAGCCUUCGGCUUAACCGAAGAACUGCAUCAGAAACUGUUGAACUUGAGUGCAGAAGAGGAGAGUGGAAUUCCAUGUGUAGCGGUGGAAUGCGUAGAUAUAUGGAAGAACACCAGUGGCGAAGGCGGCUCUCUGGUCUGCAACUGACGCUGAGGCUCGAAAGCAUGGGUAGCGAACAGGAUUAGAUACCCUUGUAGUC